AACAUGGACACCUUCUUAAUUAUGCACCAUUAAUGAUGUUCUAACUGCAGUUGGGGACGCUGCAGUUUUAGUCCUCGCUUUAAUUCUGUGCUGUGUCGUAGAGAGCAUUAAUGAGCCCAGGAAUUCUCAAAGGUCAUAAUCUGAAUAUAUUUCCUUUCCUUCUUUUUAGGGCAACAGGAAUGGAUUUAAAACAAUGAAAAUGAAAUUUACUUCAUCAUUUGCUUAACAAUAGCCUCACCCAAAUUAGACUGAGCCUCUCCACUAGAUUCAAGAUCCAGGUGGGAACGUGGAAACAAAACUCAGAAGACUAUUGAUGACCAAGGCAACAAGGAUGGAUGGAUGGAUCUCAAAAGCCAAAAGGCAUUUGAAAAGACAAAACUCCCAAUGCAGAAGAUGGCUGGAAGCAACUGCUCUCAGGCAGUUUCUGGAGUCCUCUUCACUGAGGUGGAACCACACCCUUUCAAAGAUCAUACUGCAAGGAAAAUUCAUGGAAAACCCCAGUGAUUCUGUGCAGCCUUCUUGGAGAAAUGGCCAGAAGCUUGCUGACUCUCACCUCCCAACAGAGAGAGUCUGGAUUUGUGCUGACUUGUGAAUGAAGAAAGGGUUGUGACCAGUUUGACCAAUAGACCAUAAUGGAAUGAAGCUAUGUGAAUUCCAAGGGCGGGUCAUCAGAGGCCAUGUGGGUUCUGCUUGGUUCUCUUAGAAUGUUCAUUCUUAGGAAUCCUGAUCAACAUGCUGUAUGACAUCUGAGCCACACAUGGGUGCUGCAGGCCACAGUAUUCGAGAGCCAUUUUGUCCCUACAGGUGGGCAUGCAGGUGGUUCGCCAUGCCAUCUGAGAAGCUCUUACUGACAGUCUAAGGUGGUGGGACAGAAGACAAGCCACUUCUAUAUUCUGCUCACAUUCCUGAUCCACAACAUCCACACUCAUGAGAAAGUGGUUGUUCAUGGCCACUGAAUUUUCAGGGGGUUAUUAUAUUGUGGUGGGUAACUAGAAUAAUGAAGAAUAUGUACUUCUAGUUUGAGAUUUUAGGUUUUCUUUUCAGUUUAUAAACUUAUAGAUAUGCUCCAUUUUGCCUUUUGCUACUGUUUUUGCAAACUACUGUUACAAUCAGUAGGUUGUGUGCUUUUCUUGACAUUAUUUGUUGGAGCAGCUUGGAUAGGUUUCAUAGCAGUGUUGCUUAGGGGGAGACACAGGAGCUUGGCAUUUCUUGAUGGAUUGUUUAGAGAUUCUAGAAGAUAAAUGAAGCUUCUAGUGUACCCUUGACUAAAGAAUGGUCCUCCAUUAGGGAACGCCAUCUUUCAUGACUGAAUAUUCAGCUCUGGAUGCACAUGUGAUGGGAAAAGAAGACACCUACCUAGCCAACCACAUCAGGUGACCAAUGGCAUGACAGAUGUUGCAAGCAGAUCAUCUUCACAUCUGGAGUUUGGUAUUUCUGUAUGAAGAAUGAGAAGACUUAAGGAGCCCUCUUCCUUGCUGUGGUUGGGACUUCUGUUGCUUAGCACAUUCCACAGUGUUAGGCACUAACCUUGGGCAGGUUGAGGAUCUAGCAAGUAUGAAAGGCAGAGAUGAAUUAGCACUUUGAUCUUAUUCCUUGGAUGUUACUCUACCCCUUUGAAUCCAUUUCCUCUUCAUAUGAUGCAUGACACUAUACAGGGAUAUAAGAGGUAAGUAUAAAGUGAAUGAUACAAUAAAUACAGUUGUUGGAUUCUAUUUCUGCUUAAA
rnacentral:lncRNA from 1 species